GCCGGGUGUGGUGGCUCACGCCUGUAAUCCCAGCACUUUGGGAGGCUGAGGUGGGUGGAUCACUUGAGACCAGAAGUUCAAGACCAGUCUGGUCAACAUGGUGAAACCCCAUCUCUA
rnacentral:sRNA from 1 species